rnacentral:rRNA from 1 species
ACGAACGCUGGCGGCGUGCUUAACACAUGCAAGUCGAGCGGUAAGGCCCUUCGGGGUACACGAGCGGCGAACGGGUGAGUAACACGUGGGUGAUCUGCCCUGUACUUCGGGAUAAGCCUGGGAAACUGGGUCUAAUACCGGAUAUGACCAUCUCUCGCCUGGGGGGUGGUGGAAAGCCUUGUGCGGUAUGGGAUGGGCCCGCGGCCUAUCAGCUUGUUGGUGGGGUAAUGGCCUACCAAGGCGACGACGGGUAGCCGGCCUGAGAGGGCGAUCGGCCACACUGGGACUGAGACACGGCCCAGACUCCUACGGGAGGCAGCAGUGGGGAAUAUUGCACAAUGGGCGCAAGCCUGAUGCAGCGACGCCGCGUGGGGGAUGACGGCCUUCGGGUUGUAAACCCCUUUCGCCUACGACGAAGCGAGAGUGACGGUAGUAGGAGAAGAAGCACCGGCCAACUACGU